rnacentral:rRNA from 1 species
AACUCAAAUGAAUUGACGGGGCCCGCACAAGCGAGGAACAUGUGGUUUAAUUCGAUGAUACGCGAGGAACCUUACCUGGGCUUAAAUGGGGAGUGACAGCUGUCGAAAGAUGGUUUUCUUCGGACACUCUUCAAGGUGCUGCAUGGUUGUCGUCAGCUCGUGCCGUGAGGUGUCGGGUUAAGUCCCAUAACGAGCGCAACCCUUACCGUUAGUUACCAUCAGGUUAAGCUGGGGACUCUAGCGGGACUGCCACCGUAAGGUGAGAGGAAGGUGGGGAUGACGUCAAAUCAGCACGGCCCUUAUGUCCAGGGCUACACACGUGUUACAAUGGCCGGUACAAAGGGCAGCUACUUCGCGAGAAGAUGCUAAUCUCGAAAGCCGGUCUCAGUUCGGAUCGAAGUCUGCAACCCGACUUCGUGAAGCUGGAUUCGCUAGUAAUCGCGCAUCAGCCACGGCGCGGUGAAUACGUUCCCGGGCCUU